rnacentral:lncRNA from 11 species
CAAACAUAUUCGCUUAUUCAACGUUCAGCCCGUUUAUGUUGGAUAAGCGAGACUCUACUGUAUUAGUAUAAAUGUUAUUAUCAAGAUCCAUUGAUACAUAUCGGAUGUAAUUGGGAGGUACUCCUCUCUCAGACUCAGUUUAGGGUACCAGAGUAACUAUCGUUAUUUAUAUUAAUAUUAUUGUUAACACCCACUGGUACACAUCAGCUGUAAUGGGAAAGCAGCCCUCUGUCAGUACCUGCUUAUUGUUAUAGGGCCAAAACAAAACAAAAUUAAAACAAGCACAAUGAUUGUGCAGCUUUUAUUUUAGUCUCGCCUCUCAUUUCCUACUAAAAUGUCGUCAUUCGUUUUGUGUAGAUGAAUGAUCGAAACAAAAUAAUAGCACAAAGGAAACAAAGGCAAUUUUUUCGCACACAUCUCUAGUGGAAAUCAUGACUUGAGAAGUACAAACAAUUGACCUGAAAGAAGCUGUCAACAAACUGAUUCCAGACAGCAUUGGUAAAGAUAUAGAAAAGGCAUGUCAGUCAAUCUUAUCCCCUUCAUGGUAUCUAUGUUCGUAAAGUCAAGAUGUUUGAGAAACCCAAAUUUGAAUUUGGCAAGCUGAUGGAACUGCAUGGUGAAGGUGGUGGUGCUGGAAAGCCAUCCAGUAAUGAAGCUGGUGCUAAGGUAGAAUGGGCUGAUGGGUAUGAGCCCCCUGUGCAAUAAUCUGUCUAAACUCAGUUCAUAAC